AAAAAACAAAUGUUGUACACAAAAUGAUUACUAAGUCAAGGCUUCCAAGGUUUGUUUAUCCAGAUAUGAUGAUAAUCAGGUUUGUUUAUCCAGAUAUGAUGAUAAUUAGGUUUGUUUAUCCAGAUAUAACUAUCAUUUGUUCAGUCGCUAACAAAUUUAACAUUUUUUGGUGUUUUUACUUUUAUAUUGAAUAUGGUGGUGUGUCACUUUUUUUAUACAAUUCAAUUCUAUACUACGAUUUUCUGUAAUCAAUCAGAUUGCAUAGAUAUUGGGUAUUUUUGAAACUGAUUUUGCUAAUACAGUAUUUCAGGAAAUUUGUAAAACUGUCUAAACUUCCAGCCCUAACUUGGCAAACACAUUAAAAAUAUGAAAAAGAUAUAUAUUGAAAGUGCAUGAUUUUUGUAAAGUAAGUAAUGCAUCCAUCCAUCCACUUGGUCCAGCAUGGUUGGAAAAAUGUGCAUCCUGAAGAGUUAGAAAUACAAGAUUAAUGAAAUAAUGUAAUUUACAUCAUUACACCAAAUGAUUUGGGAUGAUGAAAGGACUACAGAUGGAAAGAUGAUGCUGUUAUGUUGGUCAAAGAUAAAUUAUUGCUGUGGUAGAGAACGGAAGAUGUAUUAAAUACUGACUUGUCUUAUAAUUAUAUUUCCAGUAUAUGUUACAUUGUACCCUAGUUCCUUGAUUUCAGUAUAAAUCCACCCCUAGAACACAAAAUUGGGUCGAGCUUGUACAUGGAGAUUAGAAUGUAGGUAAAUCAGAGGUGUACGCUGAAAAAUCUAAGGGGGGUCGAAACGAAAGCACAGGGGGGCAAGCUGAACUCGGAGCAAUUUAGCAAAGCUUUCAGAAUUCGCGGGGUGCGUUAUUUGUGAGUGAAGCGAGCAUAUUUAAAGGGCACUUUCUUUAAAAGGGGGGGGUCGACCGCACCCAUCGACCCCCCCCCCCCCCCCCAACGGUACGUCCCUGUAAAUAGUAGUGGGUGCAAUGCAAGUUAUUUCAUAUUUGUAUAAUUUUUUUUCAUAUUAUAUUAAAGACUCACAUAAUUUAUUGCAAAACCUAUUUUCAUUCCUGAUGAUGACAUAAUAUCAAAAUAUUGAAUCCCGACACGAUAGCGUGCAUUUCGAUACUUGGAGUAUGUAUUAUACUAUCUUAUCUGAGAUUAAUCAGUGGACCUUUCGGUUUUCUAUGAAACUAGAGUUGGGCAUUUUGCUACUGAAGUUACUGAACUAUACUAGGAUUGGUGGGUGAGGGGGUGAGUGGGGGGUGGGUGUUCUUAUAAUGAAGAUGAAAUUAUACCAAGGAAACCUUGGUACAUGUUUAUGCCCAAAUUCCUAUAAAAUAUUAGAUAAGUAGGACACAAUAUUAAGAGGUGUGUUACGGUAUAGGCCUAUGGUUGCUACACAGGAGUUACUGAUUGGCUAACGCUACACAUUCCACUGACAGAAAUAUGUACAUCUCCACAUUCCAGACUGAGUGAAUAGAUAGUAUCCACUGGAUGUCUUCUGGGUCAAAUAAUUGCUUCAAACGACCAUUUACAGACAGAGCAUUUGGAGGGAU
rnacentral:lncRNA from 1 species